CUUUUGAGCCACUAUGACAUCGGCCCUUAUGUCAUCGGUUUCAACUUUUCCUGUUUUUUUAAGCCUCCCCUCAACUUUACACCUACUACUUAACCGUUAACACAGAACCGCGACUUCCUCGACACAACACUGACUGGAACUCCGCUGUCAGCCGCAACUUCAGCUAGCUAUUCACUCUCGCCGGUAAAACAUGGCAACUGCAAAAGUUGGGAGGAUCAAGUUGGGUUCUCAAGGCCUGGAAGUGUCAGCUCAAGGCCUUGGCUGCAUGGGGAUGUCAGCUUUCUAUGGUCCUCCAAAGCCUGAAGCAGACAUGAUCGCUCUCAUCCACCACGCUAUCAGCACUGGGGUUACCCUUCUUGAUACCUCUGAUGUUUAUGGUCCCCACACCAAUGAAAUCCUCAUUGGCAAGGCCUUGAAAGCUGGUUUUAGAGACAAAGUUGAAUUGGCUACUAAGUUUGGUGUAGACUAUACUGAAGGCAAGAGGGAAAUCCGUGGUGACCCUGCUUACGUGAGGGCUGCCUGUGAAGGUAGCUUGAAGCGUCUUGGUGUGGAUUGUAUCGAUCUUUAUUAUCAGCAUCGGAUUGAUACCAGGGUUCCCAUUGAAGUCACGGUUUGUUUGUGUUUUGUUUUCCGUCCCCUGCUUUUUUCUUUGUCAUGAUCUUGUUAAAAUGAGAAUUCUUGAUCUUUUUAUUGAUUGUUGCCCUUUUCUAUUUACCCAGAUGGGAGAACUUAAGAAGCUAGUUGAAGAAGGUAAAAUAAAGUACAUAGGUUUAUCUGAGGCUUCUGCUUCGACCAUUAGGAGGGCACAUGCUGUUCACCCAAUAACUGCUGUGCAGUUGGAGUGGUCUUUGUGGUCUAGAGAUGUUGAGGCCGACAUCAUCCCUACUUGCAGGUUACUUAUCCAUAAGACUAACAAUUCUUUUUUUUUUUUUUAAAUUAGUGAUUUAGAAAUCUUAUUCUAGUGUGAUUCCUUUUAAUUUCUUAGAGAACUCGGAAUUGGGGUUGUUGCUUACAGUCCUCUGGGGAGAGGAUUCUUUUCGUCAGGGCCUAAAAUUGUGGAAACUUUGUCCAAUGAUGACUUCAGAAAGGUUUGUAGCUAUUUUUCACAAUUGCAUUUUUUUUCAUAAGAAAUACUAAUCAUCUGUUACUUUUAGGCAUAUCAAAUGUUAUAUGGUAUGAUAGAUUUUCUUAAUCAUGAAAUGUGAUCAAUACUUGCAUAAAAAAGUUUAGUAGUUUACAGAAAUGACAAGAAUUUUUUAUAUCUGACGGCUAAAUAUUUUUAAUGCUCAAGUUGUACCGAAACAUCUCCUCUUUGUUAGCCUAAUCCGUAUGAAGAAGCCCCGAUUUAUAAGUGCUUCAAUGCUAGUAAUCUUUUUCUUUCUAAGUUGGUGGGACUUACAUGUGAAUUGGGUUUAUUUACAUGUUGGUGUGUACUGUCUAAGUGUAUAUUCUCCAACUGUGCACUUGGGUAAGGGUAGACUAGUUAAGAAUCCAAAUUUGAGUAUGUUCAUAACCUGUUCCCCUUCUCUUUCAAGAAAACUUAAUUUCAAAAUGUAAAAACAUGUUGGGUAGUAAAUCUUCAUUAGCUUCUUCUUAAUAACAGAGGGCUGACAGCUAACUUUACCUUUAUGUCCUAGCUAGUUUGCCUUUAAUAAGCACCUUUCCCUUAAGUUAUGCAAGUGUGUCUUGUGAUCCAUUGAUUAAAUGUUUUGAAUCGACAAACUUGUAUGACUUACAGAAAUUGAUGGUCUGUGGCUGAUUGUCUUUAUCUUUUAUGACACAAUCAUUUGAAAUGAAUAUCGAAUUGUGACAGUCACAACCAAGGUUCCAACCUGAAAAUCUGGAGCAUAACAAACGCCUGUAUGAGCAAGUUAAUGAGAUAGCAGCGAAGAAGGGGUGCACCCCAUCACAGCUUGCAUUGGCUUGGGUCCAUCACCAAGGGAAUGAUGUCUGUCCCAUUCCCGGAACCACGAAAAUCGAAAACUUCAAUCAGAACAUUGGAGCUUUGUCCGUAAAAUUAACAGCUGAAGAGAUGGCUGAGCUAGAAUCCAUUGCUUCAGCAGAUGCCGUGAAGGGAGAUAGAUAUGGUGAAGGUAUCUCUACUUACAAUGACUCUGAGACUCCUCCCUUGUCUUCAUGGAAACCUGAAUGAGGCUUAUACUACCAUAUUGAUACAAUCUUCAUGUGAGGUAACACCUUGUAUUGUGUUUUAAAAUCAUAAGUCUCUCCACUUUGUAUUAUGAGAGUAAGUGUUCUGUCACAAGUACAACGGGUUUUGUGGUAAUAGAUUGUAGCUGUCGAAGUGUGUCAUGUUAAGAUUGUCUGUUCCUAAGUAAUUAAGCAAAAUACAAUUUUUAUGAUGAGGCAACACCUUGGAUUGUGUUUUAAAAUCACGAGUCUCUCUACUAUGUAUUCCGAGAAUAAAUAUUCUGUCAGAAGUACAACGGGUCUUGUGGUGAUAGAUUGUAGCUAUCUAAGUGUGUCAUGUUCAGAUUGUCUGUUCCAAGGUAAUUAAGCAAAAGUUUGUCAGAAAAUAAGGUGUUAUAUCAGAACUAUCCUUGGUCUUCUGAUGAUGGCUGGCAACUUGAUUGUGCGUUUCUAGGACAGAGCAUCUGUCGGUUACAACCGAGCAACCGAUCAGAACUGAUUACAAUAGCAACCGCCGGCUCAGUUAUUCGAUGGUGGUUGCUGGUGUCGGUUGUGACUGACGGUCUUGGGACCAUCGCGGUUCAGCACUGAGGGCACUCUCCCCAACCGAACCGAACCGAUAAAAAAACCGAGGAAACCUUCUUGCCACUCAACAACCUAACGUUCAACCCCUGAUUCGAGCUUGCCCCGAAAAACAAGAUCAAAGGCCGACCAAACUUAAGUGCCUCGAUAAUUGAACUCCAACCAUAGUGAGUUAAGAACCCCCAACAGAGGAGUGAGCCAAUAUCCGUAGUUGAGGUGCCCAAUCCUUCAACAUCAAGCCCUUAUCAGAAACUCGCUCCUCAAACCCUAGAGGGAUUAAUUUAUAGUGUAUUUCUUGAAUUUAGAUUAAUUACAUUACAUAAAUUACUAAAUUAUAUUAGGUAUAAUUUAUGAAAAUUUUUUAUUUUAUUUAAUAUUUUUGUUAAUCAAUUUAAUAUAUAAUGUUUAUUAUUUUUAAAAAAAAUAAAUUAUUGAUUUUACAUUCUUAUAAAUAAUAAUGCGAUGUUUAUUAUUUUUAUUAAAAAAUUAUAUAGUGUUUACUUAUAUGGUUAAAAAUAAAUUUCAUGGGUUAGACUAAUUAUUUAAACAUGGUUACAUGGGUUUGAUUUUAAUUAAAAAUAUAGAUUUCACACACUUUUAAAUCUAAGCCCAACACAAAAUUUUCAACUUUUACUAACUUUGGACUAUUUAAGUCUAGGUCUACUUAAAAUUUCAACCAAUUGAAAUUGAGGUUGACUUCAAUUGAUCGGUUUUUCAUUGUAAUAGAUCAGUUUCGGUCUAUUGAAAUUUUUCAUCAAUUUCAUCGAUUUUGAUUUUUCCUGAAAUCGACUAAUACACUUCCGUAUAUGUUUUUGACUCGAUCAUGUUAAGAAAAACAAAGUGUUUCUGUUUUUCUCAAACAUUUUGAUCUCAAACAUGCUUCCUUCUCUUUGAUAAUACGAGGAAUCUCUCCCCCAACAAAUUAAUAUUUGGUUUCACUGGACAGAGACUUAUAGAAAAUAUGAGCAUAGAAAAGGAUAAAACGAAGACGGCCAGGUAAUUACUCGCUGUGCAUUCCAAAAUGAUCAAAUAAUUAGUUGCCUCCUUGGUCACUAAACAUUAUUAUUUAUUUAUUUAUGUAUCCAUGGGACCAAUCUAGAUCCUGUUGUCCCCACACCCUAAGCAAUAGGUUUUCAAUUAAUUAAUCCUAAUUUUCCUUAGAUUUUAGACCUUGGACGAGGAACUUAAGACUUUGGAACCACCGAUGGAUUUUGCUGGGAAAUGGCCAAACAAAAACGAAAUUGCCAAGAUAAAAGGAAUCCCAUUACUACCUUAAUUAUUUGUUUUCUGCUUACCAUGGACUCUCACAAACCACUAAUUAACUUUUAAGUAAACAUGUGUUUAGUUAAUUGUUUUCAAACUUAUUUGGAAAAUCUAAUAUAUUCGAUCUAAAGCUACCAAAGUACGCAACUAAAAGUAAAGUUGCAAAAAGUUAAAACAUUGUAAUUAUUAUUAUUAUUAUUAUGUGUGAAAUGAUGAAGCGACAUGCAUGAUGAACAGCUCUCUCUUUUAAAGUUUUUAUUAUACUUCCCACUAAUUAAAAGGUGGAUGAUAAAUAGAUCAUGCACUUGCUCACCGCAAUGAAGAAUAUCAUAAUUUGGCCAAAUAUUACUACCAACUAGCUAUUAAACCACCAAGCUGAUCAACCCCUUCUUAAGGGAAUGUAUGCAUUGGAUUAAUUCAUUACUCUUUGCAUAAGCUUUUAGGCUUCUAAAUUGACAUUAAUAUAGUCACUCUGAUUAUUGUUUUGCAUAAUCCAGAGUAUAGGAUUAAGAUAAAAUUAAAAAAAAAUUGAGCCAACUAUAUAUUCUUUAGUGUAGCGGCUGCGCCUUAAGAUAAAACUUGAAGAGGGGAUUAAACAAUAUUCACUGCAGUCAAUAGAAUAAACCAUUGUCAUGAAUAUAAAAAAAAUAUUAAAUUAUUAAUGUCAUAAUCUAGCUAGUUCAGUUAUACGUCUACAAAAUCUUUUUGUUUGAAUGGAUUCAUUAGCUAAAGCACCCAUGGGCAGACCCCAUUUUCUACUGAGCUAGCUACACUGGUUCAUGAACCUUGUCCACAAGAGUUCAAACAGAUUUUCCCUGGCCAGUCCCAUGGCCGACAACAAGUUGGCAUUGGCUUUGGUGACUAUCGCUCAUUUCGCUACUUUCUCUCCUAUUAAAUUCUUCCCACUCAUUUAAACAAAAAGAUUAAUCUCGAUUAAUUUGUCUCCUUCUUUUGGUCUUUGGUAACGGUAAUAAUUAUAUUUAACAUAUAAGCAUCGCAUUUUCUCUAUUUUUAAUUUGUGGGACAGCAAUGCAAUGAAGUCACCACUCACCAUCCCCCAUGGAUUAGGAAAGCUCGUAUCUCUCUAAUUAACAUAUAAAAUACGAGAUUAAUUGAAAAAGGGAUUGAGUUGAUCGCUUUGAUAGAUCCACCUUUAAAUAUUUAAACAUAAGUUGAUCUUAAACUAAUAUAAAAUUAUGCAAUUUUUAGUUAAACGAAUUAGUCAAAUAAUCAUCGUAGAUUAUCGUGGAAUAAUUUAUUUUGUUCCCGAAAAUGAUUGCAUUAAGACCCGAUAGCUACCACAUGCCUGACCCAUGGCGGCUCCGGGAUGUGUAGAAAGUCACUGUAUGAUUGCAAUCUAGAAAGCCAGCAUUGACUGGCCUCUCGUUAGUGCUUGGAUAAUAAAAAAAAAAGAGAUCAAAUUAUACAUGUCUGAGUUUAGAUACGGUGGCGGCACCAUUUUCUUCUUCACCCUGUGACCACACUCUUUAAAGAGUAAAUUAACUCUUCACUAUAUCUGCAUUUAUUUGUUAAUACAUGUAUUUAUACAAGAGUUGAAUUGAGAUACAAGAGUUGGCUGAGCAUUUUUAAAGGGAUUGGCUAACCUAUCGGCUAAAAGAAUUGGAGAAGAUAUGUACAUAUCAAUUUGAGAAGAUAAAGGAGAGAAUUAAGGAGAUAUGGGAAAGGAUAAAGAAGGAGAGGAUUAAGGAUAAAGGAAAUUGCAAUUGUUAUCUUCAUUACUCCCCCUCAAGUUGGAGUGUGAAGAGUUGAAGUACCCAACUUGCUAAGUAACUCAUGAAAAUGGUCACGCCCAAGUGCCUUAGUAAAAAUAUCUGCUAGCUGAAAUUUUGAAGUGAUAAGUUGAGGAAUCAAAGUUUGAGAUUGAAUAUGCUGGCGAACAAAAUGACAAUCAAUUUCUAUGUGUUUCGUACGUUCAUGAAAAACUGGAUUUGCAGCUAUGUGGAUGGCAGCUUGAUUAUCACAAAAAAGUGGAACUAGAUUAGAACAAGGCACUUGUAGGUCUCGUAGUAAUUGUAUUAACCAAAUGAUUUCAUUAGAAAUAGUGGCCAUUGCUCUAUACUCUGCUUCUGUAGAUGAGCGUGAAACAACUGUCUGUUUCUUGGAUCGCCAUGAGAUUGGUGAUGACCCAAGAAAUAUAAUGUAGUCAGUAGUAGAUCGACGGGUGGUAGGGCAUCUUGCCCAAUCUGCGUCACAAUAUGCCCGAAGAGACAAUGAAUUAUUGGAAGGUAACAAGAGUCCUUGACCUGGAGCAUUCUUGAGAUAUCGAAGCACACAAAAAACUGCAUUUAAGUGUAGUUGCCGAGGAUUAUGCAUAAAUUGACUAAAUAAGUGCACAACAUAACUAAUAUCUGGCCUUGUGAUAGUGAGAUAAAGCAGGCGUCCAACAAGUCGUCGAUAAAGCUCAGGGUUAGAACAAAGAGGCUCAGUGUUAGAUGCAAGCUUGUGUUGUUGGUCUAUUGGAAAGGAUGAAGGCUUGCUGCCCAUUAAAUCACAUUUGGACAAAAUAUCCAAUACGUACUUGUGCUGGCUUAAAACUAUGCCAGAAGGAGAACGAGCAACUUCUAUGCCAAGAAAAUAUUUCAAUUUUCCAAGAUCUUUGAUGCGAAACUUCUUGUCCAAAUAACGCUUUAGUUUGACAAUACGGUCUAAAUCGUUCCCUGUGAUUAUCACAUCAUCUACAUAUAUCAGAACAACAAUGAAAGCUGGCCCUCGAUGAAACAAGAAAAGCGAAUGAUCUGCACCAGAUUGACAAAAACCAAUGGCUAACAAGGCUGUAGUGAAUUUUUAAUACCAAUUUCUCGAGGCUUGUUUAAGUCCAUAUAAAGAUUUCUGCAACUUACAAACACGUUGCUCCCUCUUUCGAGUGAAUCCUUGUGGAACCUUCAUAUAAACUUCCUCGUUUAGGUCUCCAUGGAGAAAUGCAUUGUUGACAUCCAGUUGAUGUAAUUCCCAAUUCUGUACUGAAGCUACCGCAAGCAAGCAUCUGACAGUCACUAGUUUAGCCACCGGUGCGAAAGUUUCAUGAAAGUCUACCCCUUCUAUCUGAGUAUAACCUUUAGCAACUAGACGAGCCUUAUAUCGUUCCACACUUCCAUCUGGGUUGUACUUAAUUUUGUACACCCAUUUAGAAUUGAUUGCUGGCUUCCCAAGUGGUAACUUACUCAAAACCCAUGUUUUAUUUUCUUCUAAGGUUGAGAUUUCUUUUGCCAUAGCAUCCCGCCAAUGAGUAUGUUUUAUUGCCUAAUGAAAAUUAGUUGGCUCAUCGGUUGAAAGGAUGGCCGCCAAAAAAGCAUUGUGAUCACGUAAAAAUUAAGAAUAAAAGAUGAAUUGUGAAAGAGGAUAUACCGUAGAGUUGGCCUUGGGUGUGGGAGUGUACGUUGAAAAGGACGAUGUGAGAGAGGGAGGCAAGGCAAAAUCAUAAUCUGUUAGUUUUCUAGGAAUCUGACGAGCUCUUUUUCUUGUCAUUACUGAAGUAUCUACUAUAACAGUAGUACCAGGAGCAGUACUUGGUUGCUCUAUUUGCUGCCUAAGUGACCCAUUUGCAUCAAUGGUACACUCUUCAUUGCUUAAUGAAUGAUGUUGUCCAAUCUCGUCUAACGUGCCUGUAUCAUUUAAUUCGCCAGAUCUAGCUGUAUCAUAUGACUCGCAUGGCUCAGUUUCAAGAUGGCCCCCACUGUCUCCGUGUGACUCGAUCAUACUCGAUCCUUGCGCUAAUUUAUCAAAUGGGUUCAGAUAAGAACACAUGAAUGAUUCAUCAGAAGUGUGAACUUGGAUAUUAGGAUUUGUUGAAGUCCAAGAUGCCAGUAUGUGUGUUGUUGGAGACCCAUCAAUUUCAUUGCUUCCUUUGGUCAAUGCACUAGGGAAAAUAUUCUUAAAAAAUUGCACAUCACGUGAAGUAUAGAUUUUCUUAUCUUCAAUAUCGAAUAUUCGAUACCCUUUUUGUCCAUGGGGAUAACCCAAGAAAAUACCUGGUUUGGAGCAAGGUGCAAAUUUAUCACGUGACUUGUUGGUGAUGAGUCCAUAACACAAGCAUCCAAAAGUUCUGAGAUGUUGGUAGGUUGGUGAUCUUCCAAACAAGAUUUCGUAUGGGGUUUUGUUCUUCAAAACUGAUAGUGGCAUUCUGUUGAUUAAGUAUGCAGCUGUUAGGACACAUUCACCCCAAAAUUUUAUGGGUAGAUAUGCUUGGAAGCGUAGCACUCGUGCAACUUUUAACAAGUGUCUGUGCUUUCUUUCUACUCUCCCAUUUUGUUGUGGUGUGUUUGUGCAGCUUGUUUUGGCGCUCAAUUCCAUUCUCAUUGUAGUAGGUAAGUAAAUCACUGUGUUUGAAUUCCAUCCUAUUGUCGGAACGCACAAUUUUCACCUGUGUAUUAAAUUGAGUUCGUAGCCAUUGGUAAAAAUGCAGUAAGUAAUCACGUGUUUUUGACUUAUGCUUCAUCAAAUAUACCCAGGUGGCCCGACUGUAAUCAUUAACAAUGGUUAGAAAGUAAACAGCCCCAAAUAAUGAUGGAGUUUUAUAAUCUCCCCAAAUGUCACAAUGAAUAAGUUCAAAAAUUCGACUAGAUUCAUAAGUACUGGCAAAAAAUGGCAAACGAUGUUGUCGUGCUCUGCAACAAGCAUCACAAAAUUUAUUUUCCUUAACAUUAAUAGAUAAAUCCCCAAUAAAAGAUAAGCGAUUCAUUGGCAAAUGCCCCAGUCUCCGAUGCCACAUAUCUGCAUGCCUCAUAUUACUUGCCAUUAGUGCCUUGCCCUCUCUUAUUGGUUCCAAGUAGUAGAGUCCAUCACGCACCCUACCCACUCCAAUCGGCCUCCUCGAAGAUAAGUCCUGUAUAACACAAAAUGUAGGUUAGAACGUGAGCACACAAUUCAAAUCCUUGGUUAAUUUGCUAACAGAUAACAAAUUAAAAUUAAAAUUUGGAAUGCCAAAGACUUGAUCCAAGACCAAUUGUUUAUUCAAUUUAACAUGGCCUAAAGCUUGUACGGGGACCAUUUCUUCAUUGGGUAUUUGGAUUGGAGGAAAAUUAGGCUUGUGCUUGACAUUUGUGAAAAGGCCCAAAUCCUUUGUAAUGUGGUCUGUGGCUCCAUUGUCUAUGACCCAUGGAUCAUUGUGUCUCUCUUUCUUACCCGCAUUCUAAUUGGUGGUAUUGGCUACCUAUGAUGUCGAUUGAAGGUUUGGUGUAUUGCCCACACCCAACGCAGCAAGCACUUGAAGAAUUUGCUAUUGUUGUGCCUUUAUUCCCGAAGUUGAGAUCGAGGAAUUGGUGUCUCCAAUUGUGGCUGCAAUAGCCGAACUGUUGUUACUCUGAUCCACGCGUCUUCCUCCUCUGCUUCGACUCCGAUCUGAUGGCCGACGAUUCCAAUUUUCUAGGUAACCAAUAAUUUCAAAACAUUGCUCUUUUGUAUGCUUGGGCUUUCCGCAAUGAGCGCAAUGAGUGCAAUGCACUAGUUAUGUUUUCUCCUCAAAACGCCGAUUCUGGCUUCUCUUGUUAUUUGCAACAGCAUGCCUUGACGUCAUUGCUUGAUCUCUGGUCACCUGUCCUGCCAAAAAUGCAGCACCUUCAACAGUUGGGACUCGAUUUACAGCUACUUGUCUUUGUUUUUCCUCCUGCGCUGCUAUGGAGUAUGUUUUCCUCAAACUAGGCAAUGGGUCAACGCUAAGUAUCUGAGACCUCACGGUGCUGAAGGUGUCAUCUAAUCCCAUGAGAAAAUCAAAUACUUUCUCUUGUUCUUGCAUAUCUUCCAUUUUCUUCGCUGCUCCACACGUGCAACCACAUGUACAUACAGGAAUAGGAUUAAAAGCUUGUAAUUCACCCCAAACAGUUUUAAGCUUACCGUAAUAAGAUGAAAUUGAUGACUUUUCUUGUUGCAAUAGUGCAAUCGCACGUCUCAACUCGUACAUACGUGGAGCCAUUCUUUGUGUGAAUCUUUCCUGCAGAUCUGCCCAAACCUCAUGAGUUGUGUCCGCAUGAGCCGCGCUGCUUUGGAUCUCCUUUGCAAGUGCAUUUAUUAACCAGAAAAGCACAAUAGCAUUGCAUUGGACCCAUGAGUCGUAAUCUUGGGAAUUGACAUCCGGUUUGACUAUGGUCCCAUCUACGAAUCCUGCUUUGUUCUUUGAUCGUAAUGCAUUUAGAAAGCUGCGCCUCCAGGUAAAAUAAUUUUCACCAUUCUCGUUAAGAGGGUGUGUGACAAAAGUUAAGCCAAGAUGAUCUGAUGAAUGCAAAAAGUAUGGGGACUUAGUAUCAAUUGCAAUGUUGUGUGAUGCGUUUGCAGAUGAUACCAAGGUCACAUUAACUUGAUUUGCUUCAUUCUCUGCCAUGACUUAAAAAAAUUUUAUGUACCCUGCUUUGAUACCAUAAAGAGUAAAUUAACUCUUCACUAUAUCUAUAUUUAUUUAUUAAUACAUGUAUUUAUACAAGAGUUGAAUUGAGAUACCAGAGUUGGCUGAGCAUUUCUAAAGGGAUUGGCUAACCUAUCGGCUAAAAGAAUUUGAGAAGAUAUGUACAUAUCAAUUUGAGAAGAUAAAGGAGAGAAUUAAGGAGAUAUGGGAAAGGAUAAAGAAGGAAAGGAUUAAGGAUAAAGGAAAUUGCAAUUGUUAUCUUCAUUACUCUUGUCACGUGACACAAGUACCUAAUAGCUUUUCUUUCUUUUGUUUUUUAUUUUGUUUUUUAUUGUUUUCUUUCGUCUCUCUUCUUCUAACUCUAUUUCUCGUUGGUCAGCGGCAGCCGGCAACGGUAGAGGCCCAGAUUUGCCCCAAGCUCGAUCUCUUUCCCCCGCCGGAUAGGUGACACGGGUUAAUUUGGCUCCAAUCGUCAUCAAGGCAUCAAUAAGGCUAGAUCAGACCCUUUACUGUCAUCUGCUGGCCCCUAGCUGAUGGGACAGAGAGAACAAAGGAGAAAAUGAAAAAAAAAUCACAUAAUUUAAUUUUUAUUCACAUUAAUUAUCAUGCCAACACCUGAUGAAAAUAUUGACAAAAGGACGUUUCUGUUUAACAGUAAAAAUAUGGGAAUGAGUAAUUUACUUUUUAAAUUAUAAAGAUAAAUAUGAUAUGCAAUUCAAAUUUUGAGAACCUAUCUGAAUUACAUUAUUUUUGAGAAUUAUUUUCUUUUCCAAUGUCAUCAAAAUAAUAAUCAAACAAAUCCACAUAUUUAAUAAGGGCAAAAAGUAUAAUAUUCUGGAUGCAUUAUCCUCUUUCCAGAUCCCUCAUUUUAUAAUCCGUCCGCUAACUUGUAAAAUAAUUCUUCCCAACUCUUUGGUACUGUUUGAAAAGAAUUCAAAACAAUAUAUAGUAAAUUAAGAAAAAAAAAUUGCUCCACAGUCAAAUGUACCAUAGGCUCUUAGUCCUUUUGAGCCACUAUGACAUCGGCCCUUAUGUCAUCGGUUUCAACUUUUCCUGUUUUUUUAAGCCUCCCCUCAACUGUACACCUACUGCUUAACCGUUAACACAGAACCGCGACUUCCUCGACACAACACUGACUGGAACUCCGCUGUCAGCCGCAACUUCAGCUAGCUAUUCACUCUCGCCGGUAAAACAUGGCAACUGCAAAAGUUGGGAGGAUCAAGUUGGGUU
rnacentral:lncRNA from 1 species